rnacentral:misc_RNA from 1 species
GAUGAAGAACGUAGCAAAAUGCGAUAAGUAAUGUGAAUUGCAGAAUUCAGUGAAUCAUCGAGUCUUUGAACGCACAUUGCGCCCCCUGGUAUUCCGGGGGGCAUGCCUGUCCGAGCGUCAUUGCUGCCCUCAAGCCCGGCUUGUGUGUUGGGUCUCGUCCCCCUUCCCGGGGGGACGGGCCCGAAAGGCAGCGGCGGCACCGCGUCCGGUCCUCGAGCGUAUGGGGCUUUGUCACCCGCUCUGUAGGCCCGGCCGGCGCUUGCCGAUCAACCAAAACUUUUUUCCAGGUUGACCUCGGAUCAGGUAGGGAUACCCGCUGAACUUAAGCAUAUCAAUAAGCGGAGGA